AGAGUUUGAUCCUGGCUCAGGACGAACGCUGGCGGCGUGCCUAACACAUGCAAGUCGAGCGAGAAACUCUUUUAAGACGCUUCGGUUGACUAAGAGAGUAGAAAGCGGCGAACGGGUGAGUAACGCGUGAGCAACCUGCCUCAUGGAGUGGGAUAGCCCCGGGAAACUGGGAUUAAUACCGCAUAACACUUUAAUAUCGCAUGAUAUAGAAGUCAAAACUCCGGUGCCAUGAGAGGGGCUCGCGUCCUAUUAGCUAGUUGGUAAGGUAAUGGCUUACCAAGGCAACGAUGGGUAGCCAACCUGAGAGGGUGAUCGGCCACACUGGAACUGAGACACGGUCCAGACUCCUACGGGAGGCAGCAGUGGGGAAUAUUGCGCAAUGGGGGAAACCCUGACGCAGCAACGCCGCGUGAGUGAUGAAGGUUUUCGGAUUGUAAAACUCUGUCUUUGGGGAAGAAUAAAAUGACGGUACCCAAGGAGGAGGCCCCGGCUAACUACGUGCCAGCAGCCGCGGUAAUACGUAGGGGGCAAGCGUUGUCCGGAAUUACUGGGCGUAAAGCGCAUGUAGGCGGUAUAUUAAGUCAGGUGUGAAAGUUCACGGCUCAACCGGGAAAGUGCACUUGAAACUGAUAUACUUGAGGACUGGAGAGGUAAGCGGAAUUCCUAGUGUAGCGGUGAAAUGCGUAGAUAUUAGGAAGAACACCAGUGGCGAAGGCGGCUUACUGGACAGUAACUGACGCUGAGAUGCGAAAGCGUGGGGAGCGAACAGGAUUAGAUACCCUGGUAGUCCACGCCGUAAACGAUGAGUGCUAGGUGUUGGCUGAGAAGUCAGUGCCGGAGUUAACACAUUAAGCACUCCGCCUGGGGAGUACGGUCGCAAGACUAAAACUCAAAGGAAUUGACGGGGGCCCGCACAAGCAGCGGAGCAUGUGGUUUAAUUCGACGCAACGCGAAGAACCUUACCAGGUCUUGACAUCCUUUGACCACUUAAGAGAUUAAGCUUUCCCUUCGGGGACAAAGUGACAGGUGGUGCAUGGUUGUCGUCAGCUCGUGUCGUGAGAUGUUGGGUUAAGUCCCGCAACGAGCGCAACCCUUGUGUUUAGUUGCCAGCGGUUCGGCCGGGCACUCUAGACAGACUGCCGCAGACAAUGCGGAGGAAGGUGGGGAUGACGUCAAAUCAUCAUGCCCCUUAUGACCUGGGCUACACACGUGCUACAAUGGUCUGUACAGAGGGUAGCGAAGCAGCGAUGCGGAGCCAACCCCAGAAAGCAGAUCCCAGUUCGGAUUGCAGGCUGCAACUCGCCUGCAUGAAGUUGGAGUUGCUAGUAAUCGCGAAUCAGAAUGUCGCGGUGAAUGCGUUCCCGGGCCUUGUACACACCGCCCGUCACACCAUGAGAGUCGGCAACACCCGAAGUCAGUGCGCUAACCAUUUAUGGAUGCAGCUGCCGAAGGUGGGGUUGAUAAUUAAGGUGAAGUCGUAACAAGGUAACC
rnacentral:rRNA from 1 species